AGCUGAUGACCGAGCCAUCUUUGCGUCCUCUGAGGCAGUAGCUAGGAGCCUUGUUUUGUGAUAUGUGGUGACCCAAGGCUCUUCACAGGGACAUUCUCAAAGAGUAGUGCAGCUUUUUUUUUUUUAAUCCAAGAUUAUGGGGUAAUUUAGAGGCGCAGGAUUAGAACAGGAUUUAAAUCACACUGGGAGCCAUGGUGUACCUUUGCUAUCGAUAAAAAGAUGGGCAGUCUGUACAUGUUGGAGAGCACCUGCAAGGUUCUAUGCCAGAGGACCAGCCUUGAGGGAGCUGCAUUUGAACCCAGGUCAACUGGUGGCCUGGCCUGGCCUUGCCACAGGACUGACAACGGGCACCCACAACCUCUGAGGGCUAAAAUGUGCACUGGGAUCCCUGGCUGCGAGCUUUGUCCUCUGCUGGCUGGGGACAUCAAGCACCACAUUUGGCCUCUCUGUACUUGACCGCCUUCCCCACGGACGAGUCCAUCUGGUCAACCAGUGCAAGCAGACGCUUGCUGUAGACCCCAAGUCAGGGGAGUAGCAUGUUACUAGGAACAGAAUGUUGAGUGAUCCCUGGUGGGGUGGCACAUGUCUGUUACCCCGACACUUGGGAGAUGGAGGCAGGAAGGUCAGGAGUUCAAGAGUAUCCUCAACUAUGUAAGAAGUUUGCGGCUAGCCUGGGCUAUGUAAGACCCUGUCUCAAACUCCUCAACCCUCAGAAGGAAGCAGAGGCAGACUGGUGCGUUCAUUCAGACGGCGAUGGGAGCCCCUGAGGAAAAUAAGCCUGAGAAGCAGUAGAAGGUGCCCGAGGAGGCGCCUCAGGAGCAGGCCAGCAGGGACACCAAGAGAAACACUGACCGCCAAGGCACCCCAGAGAAAGAAAGCGCUUGCCUGCCAAAGACCAGUGACCUUCCCACAGCAGUACAGCUCUCGUAGCCUGAAACCAAAGCCAAGGAACAACCCAACGCCUUCAGUCAUCGAGCAGAUGUCCAACUGUGGUCCAUCGAUGGGCAGGAUGAUAGCAAAAUUGCAGCUGAGCUUCGGAUCUGAACACGCGACACGAGAGGCCGCUCUCUGUGUAAGUCCUCUGAUACAAAAUUGAAGGGCAGUCACCAGGGAGAUCCCAGUCACCUUGGAAGUUCCUUCUGCAGGCAGGAGAUCUACUGCCUGGAUGGGCAUGGAGGCCUCGUGGACGGUUGAGAAGUGUCUGGAUUUUAUCCAGAAGGUGGUCCUCCGGAUACAUCAGAACCCACCUGUAGAAUUGUACAUGAUGGACUAGGGCUCAGUUGGUAGAGCACUGGCCUACUGUGCAGAGGCCUUGGAUUCAAUUCCCUGUGCAAAAACGGAGCAUGGCGGUUUACACCUGUCAGUGGAGAUGGAAGCAGGACAACCAGGGGUUAAAGGUCAUCCUUGCCAACAUGGUGAGUUUGGGGCCAGCCUGAGCUUUACGAGACUCUACUUUGGAAAACAAAAGGCAAAAUAGAACAACAACACUAAAAGAAACGUA